GUCAAAUCGUGGCUUGGGACUGACUCAGAUCUUCCUGUGGGAUCCAUCUGCACAUAAAUGUCUUCACACCUUGGCAGUUCUAAAACACCAUCAUCCAAAGGGGAUGGAAGAAUAAAAGUAUUAUCCAGGGUACACCCGAUUCUGGUGGAUAUUCAGGAUAUCAACCAUCUGGUAUGGGUCCUUCAAGGCCAGACCCUCACAGCUGUCCCGAGGAAGGACCAAAUGGAUCCAGUCACUGUUACCUUAAUCUCAUGCAAGUACACAGAGACUCUUGAGAAGGGCAGGGGGAAUCCUGUCUACUUGGGACUGAAGGAGCCGGAGCUUUGCCUAUUCUGCACAAAGGUCGAGGGGCAGCCCACUCUGCAGCUUCAGGAACGGAAUAUAAUGGAUCUGUACCACCAAACUGAGCCUGUGAAGCCUUUUCUCUUCUACCAUGACCAAAAUGGCAGGGCCUCCAGCUUUGAGUCUGUGGCCUUCCCUGGCUGGUUCAUCGGCUCCUGCUCCAAUGGAGGCUGUCCUGUGAUUAUCACCCAGGAAUUGGGGAAAAUCUACACUACUGACUUUGGGUUCACAGUGCUCCAGGCUUAA
rnacentral:lncRNA from 1 species